rnacentral:rRNA from 1 species
CCCUUAGAUGUUCUGGGCCGCACGCGCGCUACACUGACGAAUGCAACGAGCUUAUAACCUUGGCCGAAAGGUCUGGGUAAUCUCCAAAUUUCGUCGUGAUGGGGAUAGAUUAUUGCAAUUAUUAAUCUUCAACGAGGAAUGCCUAGUAAGCGCAAGUCAUCAGCUUGCGUUGAUUACGUCCCUGCCCUUUGUAUACACCGCCCGUCGCUCCUACCGAUUGAAUGGUCCGGUGAAGCGUUCGGACCGUGGCCUUUGGACGGUUCGCCGUCUGUUGGCUGCGGGAAGUUCGUUAAACCUUAUCAUUUAGAGGAAGGAGAAGUCGUANCA